rnacentral:lncRNA from 1 species
UCUCCACAACAUAUGUGAAACUACCCUUAAACUUUGAAGAAGGGAAAGGAGAACUGGAGAGAAGUGUCCUGGUAAAAUACCGGUGAGGACAGAGGAAGCCCAGACAGUGUCCCGGCAUUCCCAGUUCUGAGGGCUGCAGAGAGGGCUGGGCGGGCACAAUAUCUGGAGCUGGUGAUGGGGUGAGGGGUGAGGGCUCUUCCAGGACUGGCACAGCAUGAGGGGAAGAGGCAAUCCCAGUGGAAGGAUGCUGGUGGAUGCCACCUGCCGGACAGGUGGAAGUGGUGAGCAGAUCUCGCAUGCAAACACCAGGACCCAGAGGAGCUGCACUGAGAUGAACCAAGAGAGUCUUUAUUCCUGGAAUUGAUUUCUGUACAAUGCAUUGGGGAGAUAUUAGACUUCUUCAAGACAUUGAACAUGCUGAAAAUGCCAAUUAAGUUCACUCUGGCAACUUCAAAAGGAGCCGUGGGUCAGCAGGCACAGUCAAAUCAGCCUUCAUAAGAAAGACAAGGAGAUAAAAACCAGUCAUUCAUGCCACGGGAGUACUGAGGAAGCUGCAUCAGAGGCCGUGCGGAGCCAGCCUCAUGGGACGGCAUCGCUGGUCCCUGCACCACGACCAGCCUCUCCCCGAGAAUUGGUCCCCAGGGAUCCGCCCUCGAUUUUGGAAGUAUUUCUGGUGCCUCAACUCAAAUCUGUCCCUCCAGUCUUCCUGAAGGUAAGCUUGUAGUUCUCUGUGUUCAUCUUUUCCUCACCAAAAUAUUUGUGGAUCGUUUUU